UCCCUGGCUGUCCAGUGGUUAGGACUCAGCAUUUCCACUGCCAGAGUCCAGGUUCAAUCCCUGGUGGGGGAA
rnacentral:tRNA from 1 species